rnacentral:rRNA from 1 species
UUGAACGCUGGCGGCAGGCCUAACACAUGCCAGUCGAACGGUAACAGGAAGAAGCUUGCUUCUUUGCUGACGAGUGGCGGACGGGUGAGUAAUGUCUGGGAAACUGCCUGAUGGAGGGGGAUAACUACUGGAAACGGUAGCUAAUACCGCAUAACGUCGCAAGACCAAAGAGGGGGACCUUCGGGCCUCUUGCCAUCGGAUGUGCCCAGAUGGGAUUAGCUAGUAGGUGGGGUAACGGCUCACCUAGGCGACGAUCCCUAGCUGGUCUGAGAGGAUGACCAGCCACACUGGAACUGAGACACGGUCCAGACUCCUACGGGAGGCAGCAGUGGGGAAUAUUGCACAAUGGGCGCAAGCCUGAUGCAGCCAUGCCGCGUGUAUGAAGAAGGCCUUCGGGUUGUAAAGUACUUCAGCGGGGAGGAAGGGAGUAAAGUUAAUACCUUUGCUCAUUGACGUUACCCGCAGAAGAAGCACCGGCUAACUCCGUG